rnacentral:rRNA from 1 species
UACGGAGGGUGCAAACGUUGCUCGGAAUCAUUGGGCGUAAAGCGCACGUAGGCGGCCCAGCAAGUCGGGUGUGAAAGCCCUCGGCUUAACCGAGGAAGUGCAUUCGAAACUACUGAGCUUGAAUACUGGAGAGGAUCGCGGAAUUCCCGGUGUAGAGGUGAAAUUCGUAGAUAUCGGGAGGAACACCAGUGGCGAAGGCGGCGAUCUGGACAGAUAUUGACGCUGAGGUGCGAAAGCGUGGGGAGCAACAGG